AAUUAUAAGAAAGAAAAUCCUAGAAUAUAUAAGCCCGCGGUCUCUUGGUGGGUCAUGUAGGUUCGCUUCAAGUGACACAAAUUCAUGUAUAUAAUUGGAUUGCUUCAUCAUUUACAGCUAAGGCAUUGCAAAAUAAGAACAUGAGAAAUCAAUAAUGGGAAAAAUACGAGAAAGGGCCACAGAUGAGCGGUAAAAUAAUUAUAAGAAAGAAAAUCCUAUAAUAUUUAAGCCACUGGUCUCUUGCACUAUGGAGUCACGUAGGGAGUCGCUUUAAGGUACGCCUUGGCUUGAAAAUGUGACGUUUUUUUCGUUUCCCUUCCUUCAGCUACGCUUUCCCCGCGGCAUACCCUUGGCCUCCAUGUCCAUCCAGCAGGAGGAGGAAGAUGUUCUGGACACCUGGUUCUCCUCUUGCCUGUUUCCUUUUGCCUCGCUGGGCUGGCCAGGUCUGGGGAGGAGAGAGACCAUGCCUGACCUUGCUCGCUUCUACCCAACGACCUUGGUGGAGACGAGUCACGACAUCCUCUUCUUCUGGGUGAUUCAGAUGGUCAUGCUGGGACUCAACCUGACGGGGAGGCUUCCCUUUGAGAUCGAGCCGUGGUGGUGGUGACUGGCAGGCUAGCACAGAGACUGGACCGUGGACGCCAGCGCUGUGUGGUGGUGCGGGUCACAGUGCCACAGCCAGGCCAGGUCACCCUACACGACCUGACCUUGCCUCAUGGGUUGUACCAGGUCAGGGUUGUCAAAAUGGUUGAGACAAGACAGCUGGAUGAGGUCACUGAUGGAGGAAGAAGAGGAGGAGGAGGAGGGGAAGAAGAAGAAGGAAGAGGAGGAGGAGGAGGAGGAGGAGGAGGAGGAGGAGGAAGGAUAAUCGUCAAAAAGCAUCAGUUUUUUGUACCCACAGAGAGGCGGAGAGAGAGGAUCCUGGUGAGAAACAGAAGGCACAACAAGAUCACCACGUCUCAGCCCAGCAGGCAGUGGCUUCAGCUGUCUAACACUGACCUCAUCCUACGGAAAUACAGCGCACAGGAGAGACGACAAGAAAAUUCGACCUACGGAAGAAUUACUGGCGACGGGAGGGGAGGAAGAGGCCCCUGUGUCUGCUGCAAUUGCUUUAGUUUCUUUCUAGAUUACAACAACAUGACGGCUGUGCUAACUUUCAACUACAGCCUCAAUGAAUCCUGCCAGGCUGUAUGCUCUAGAACUGUGUAACUUUGAAGAAGUUACAGGUCCCCGGCACGCCUGCCUGGUUCAUGGCCGCAUCACACAAGACCAAGGUUGUAGCCAAGAACAUCUCCAGAAUUGCUCUCAUCUCAGAGGAGGCGACCAAAUACACCGCACAACAAACAACUGUACGAGCUCCGCAAGACAAGCCUGGCUCGGGUGAUCUGCGACAACAGUGACAAGCUACAGUACGUCCAGCCCAAAGUAAUGCUGGAGGCCGACUCUUUCCUUGGCUUGGCAGAGGAGAGAACAGAUCAACCAAGCAACGUCCUUCACUGACGGGUCGGUGAUCUACGGGUCCAGCAAGGAGGAGAGCGACGAGCUGCGUGCCUUCUCUGGCGGCCUCCUCAAGGUGCAGCGCUGCCCGGCAAACACCCAGAUUCUUACGGCCGACACCAACCAAAUUGACUGCAAGACCUCAGGAAGAUUCAAGUAUGUGUUUGUGUGAUAGAUGAGUGCAUUAGUUAGUGAAAGGGUUAUUCAGAGCCUUACACUGAUGUAUUUGAGGUGAACAUGACAACCAGAUUGACUGCAAGACCUCAGGAAGCUUCAGUAAACUUCUAACAUUACUCAUUGGCUUGUCUAAUUAACUUUGGUCAAUAUCUACUUCCAGACCAAGCAUUAACAAACCAUCAUCUCUCACAGGUGUUUCAAAUCGGUCUGGCCGCAAUGCACCAGCCGUUCGUCAGGGAGCACAACCGCAUUGCCGUCUUGCUUUCGGACCUCAAUGCCCACUGGACUGACGAGCAAGUGUUCCAAGCGGUGCGCAGGAUUGUGGGAGCAACUCUGCAGCACAUCACCUACACUGAGUUCCUCCCCUCUAUUCUUGGCCAGGUAUUCUAAUAUAAUAGUUAAAACCAUCAACAGGAUCAGGAAGAGGGAGAUGAAGUGAGGAGAGAGGAGAGGAGGCAGGAGAUAGUGUUCAAGAGCCUCAGGUGUGGGCUGGACACUCAUCCUAACCUCCUCCUUGCCUCCUCCUCACAUCCAUCCCAAUAUCACUGUUCUCUUUCUUCAUAUCUCUUCAUUUCUUCCCUGCAGUCUCCUUUCUAAAACUUUAUUCAUUCAAGAAAAGUUAUAUUAAAUAGGUCUUUGUCUGGAUUGUGUAUGUACACACACACACACACACACACACACACACACACACACACACACACACACACACACACACACACACACACACACACACACUAGAUAGAAACUGUUUGGUAUUGUAUGCACCCUCUUAUCAUCUUUUCUCUCUUCCCCACACAGGGCAUUAUUGAGAAGUAUGGCCUGGCACUGCAGUCAUCAGGGUUCUUUUGCUGGGUAUGACAUCAACAUCAACGCUGGCAUUGCCAAUUCUGUGUCGUCGCAGGCCCUCAAAUUUGUGGCCUCUCUCAUGCCAAAUACUGUGGCUUAUUUUGAUGUAAGUUUUGCCAGUACAGUGUUCUUUGCAAGUGUUCUGCUUUAAAUCCUGACAUGCUUACUGCA